rnacentral:rRNA from 1 species
AUGAACGCUGGCGGCGUGCCUAAUACAUGCAAGUCGCGCGAACGGACGAGAAGCUUGCUUCUCUGAUGUUAGCGGCGGACGGGUGAGUAACACGUGGAUAACCUACCUAUAAGACUGGGAUAACUUCGGGAAACCGGAGCUAAUACCGGAUAAUAUUUUGAACCGCAUGGUUCAAAAGUGAAAGACGGUCUUGCUGUCACUUAUAGAUGGAUCCGCGCUGCAUUAGCUAGUUGGUAAGGUAACGGCCUACCAAGGCAACGAUGCAUAGCCGACCUGAGAGGGUGAUCGGCCACACUGGAACUGAGACACGGUCCAGACUCCUACGGGAGGCAGCAGUAGGGAAUCUUCCGCAAUGGGCGAAAGCCUGACGGAGCAACGCCGCGUGAGUGAUGAAGGUCUUCGGAUCGUAAAACUCUGUUAUUAGGGAAGAACAUAUGUGUAAGUAACUGUGCACAUCUUGACGGUACCUAAUCAGAAAGCCACGGCUAACUACGUG